UUAGAAUCGUUUCUUUCCUCUUCACCACAAAACCCUAUUUUUCUUUCUCUCUCUUGCUCUUUCUUUUUCUGAGAUGCGAUUAUUGGUGUGAGUUUUCCUUCAGGUUUCGCUCUCUCUUCUUCAAAUGUUGUUCGAUUCUUCUUCCGUUCCUCCACAAGCUACGGCUCGUAAUCCCAUUUCUAUUUGAAUUUUGAAUUUCACCCCUGAAUCUGAGUUUCUUCUUCCAUAUAUUUUUCCUUCAAAUUUGUACGAAUUUUAAGAACAUUGUUUUCACUGUUUCCUUGAGUUUCUAAGUUUCUGCGCACAAACGAAUCAUUUUUGGAUUUUAGCUUGACGUCAUGUUCAUUUGUUAAGGUUCUCUUAGAGAUUGUUGGGGUUAAAAACUUACCUGAGGGACAAGAAGGAGGUGUCUGUGUUUUAUUUUCCAAAUCACAGCCUGAUGCAUUCUUUGAUGCUAAAAGGAGACUAAAUAUUUUGUGGAGAGAAACAGGUUGCAUCUUUCCAGUGUGAACCAACAGGACAGCUUGUUUUUGAACUCAUGUCCCAUUCUUCUUCCAAGUUAUCAGUAAGAAGAUCAACAAAGACACUGGGUUCUGUUUCAUUCUCUAUGCUAGACUAUCUUGACCCAGUUUCAAAACUGUAUGUUGAGAAAUGGUUGGAGUUGGUGCCAAGUUCUGGUACCAUGACCAAUCUUAUUGCGGGUAGCCAUCUCAUUUUCUGUUCCUGUUCCUGCCCCAUACACGCUUGAAAUGACUCAGUCUCGACCACUUUCCAAAAAUACAUGUUUCUUCAACCUUCCUGUUAGGCCUCAAAAUGCCAGGAGCUGGACACAUGUCACAGAUGAAACUGACACCAGAGUCAUCAGCCUUCAAAUGAGACUGUGACAAUUGGGGAUCUGAAACUUGAACCUGUUUUAUGGCAUGAAGAUUCAGGUAGGAGGAGACAUGCCGAAAACGGGAGGUAUGCUGAAAAUGGGAGGUGGGACUGAAGGUUUAUGCUUCUCCUCUUAACAGAAUUAAUGCUUUUAAGGUAUGAUUUGGUGAUAAGCCUUUUUACAAGAAUAAGAUGCACACAACAAUUCUUGGAAGACAUAUUUAAAAAUGUGUUGUCAUAUUUUGUUUAGUUGAACAAUGAAGUUAAUAUUUUGUAUAGAUGUCUUGUGACAAUCACAAACUUAUAGUUUUAGCUUUAUUUGGCAAUUUUUUCUCUUAAAUGAUGUAAGUGAAAAACUUGAUCAGCUCCUUUUGUUGGUAAACGAAAUUCC